rnacentral:tRNA from 1 species
UACAUUUUAGUAUAUGAUGUAUAUGGACUUUUGAUGUCUAAGGAGAUAGUUUAAUUCUGUUAAAUGUAG